GUGGGGGAUAUUGCACAAUGGGGGAAACCCUGAUGCAGCGACGCCGCGUGAAGGAAGACGUACUUCGGUAUGUAAACUUCUAUCAGCAGGGAAGAAGAUGACGGUACCUGACUAAGAAGCCCCGGCUAACUACGUGCCAGCAGCCGCGGUAAUACGUAGGGGGCAAGCGUUAUCCGGAUUUACUGGGUGUAAAGGGAGCGUAGACGGUGAAGCAAGUCUGAUGUGAAAACCCGGGGCUCAACUCCGGGAUUGCAUUGGAAACUGUUUUACUUGAGUGCUGGAGGGGCAAGCGGAAUUCCUGGUGUAGCGGUGAAAUGCGUAGAUAUCAGGAAGAACACCGGUGGCGAAGGCGGCUUGCUGGACAGUAACUGACGUUGAGGCUCGAAAGCGUGGGGAGCAAACAGGAUUAGAUACCCUUGUAGUCC
rnacentral:rRNA from 1 species